UACGAAGGGGGGCUAGCGUUGCUCGGAAUCACUGGGCGUAAAGCGCACGUAGGCGGCUUUUUUAAGUCAGGGGUGAAAUCCUGGAGCUCAACUCCAGAACUGCCUUUGAUACUGAGAAGCUUGAGUCCGGGAGAGGUGAGUGGAACUGCGAGUGUAGAGGUGAAAAUUCGUAGAUAUUCGCAAGAACACCAGUGGCGAAGGCGGCUCACUGGACAUGUAUUGACGCUGAGGUGCGAAAAGCGUGGGGGA
rnacentral:rRNA from 1 species